UAAACCCUCUCUCUAUUCCUG
rnacentral:miRNA from 1 species